rnacentral:pre_miRNA from 1 species
UUUAGUCACCGAAGUUUAUAUUUUAAUUCUCAAACUAUCUCUACUGUUAAAUUUGUUUAACUAAUGGAGUUAAAAAAAUUUAACGGCAGAGACUUUUUGGGAAUUAAAAUGUAAACUUAAGGGAUUAA